AGCGAACGCUGGCGGCAGGCCUAACACAUGCAAGUCGAACGAACUCUUCGGAGUUAGUGGCGGACGGGUGAGUAACACGUGGGAACGUGCCUUUAGGUUCGGAAUAACUCAGGGAAACUUGUGCUAAUACCGAAUGUGCCCUUCGGGGGAAAGAUUUAUCGCCUUUAGAGCGGCCCGCGUCUGAUUAGCUAGUUGGUGAGGUAAAGGCUCACCAAGGCGACGAUCAGUAGCUGGUCUGAGAGGAUGAUCAGCCACAUUGGGACUGAGACACGGCCCAAACUCCUACGGGAGGCAGCAGUGGGGAAUCUUGCGCAUUGGGCGAAAGCCUGACGCAGCCAGGCCGCGUGAAUGAUGAAGGUCUUAGGAUUGUAAAAUUCUUUCACCGGGGACGAUAAUGACGGUACCCGGAGAAGAAGCCCCGGCUAACUUCGU
rnacentral:rRNA from 1 species